GGUUAAGCGACUAAGCGUACACGGUGGAUGCCCUGGCAGUCAGAGGCGAUGAAGGACGUGCUAAUCUGCGAUAAGCGUCGGUGAGGUGAUAUGAACCGUUAUAACCGGCGAUUUCCGAAUGGGGAAACCCAGUGUGUUUCGACACACUAUCAUUAACUGAAUCCAUAGGUUAAUGAGGCGAACCGGGGGAACUGAAACAUCUAAGUACCCCGAGGAAAAGAAAUCAACCGAGAUUCCCCCAGUAGCGGCGAGCGAACGGGGAGGAGCCCAGAGCCUGAAUCAGUGUGUGUGUUAGUGGAAGCGUCUGGAAAGGCGUGCGAUACAGGGUGACAGCCCCGUACACAAAAAUGCACAUACUGUGAGCUCGAUGAGUAGGGCGGGACACGUGGUAUCCUGUCUGAAUAUGGGGGGACCAUCCUCCAAGGCUAAAUACUCCUGACUGACCGAUAGUGAACCAGUACCGUGAGGGAAAGGCGAAAAGAACCCCGGCGAGGGGAGUGAAAAAGAACCUGAAACCGUGUACGUACAAGCAGUGGGAGCCUCUUAAUGGGGUGACUGCGUACCUUUUGUAUAAUGGGUCAGCGACUUAUAUUCUGUAGCAAGGUUAACCGAAUAGGGGAGCCGAAGGGAAACCGAGUCUUAACUGGGCGUUAAGUUGCAGGGUAUAGACCCGAAACCCGGUGAUCUAGCCAUGGGCAGGUUGAAGGUUGGGUAACACUAACUGGAGGACCGAACCGACUAAUGUUGAAAAAUUAGCGGAUGACUUGUGGCUGGGGGUGAAAGGCCAAUCAAACCGGGAGAUAGCUGGUUCUCCCCGAAAGCUAUUUAGGUAGCGCCUCGUGAAUUCAUCUCCGGGGGUAGAGCACUGUUUCGGCAAGGGGGUCAUCCCGACUUACCAACCCGAUGCAAACUGCGAAUACCGGAGAAUGUUAUCACGGGAGACACACGGCGGGUGCUAACGUCCGUCGUGAAGAGGGAAACAACCCAGACCGCCAGCUAAGGUCCCAAAGUCAUGGUUAAGUGGGAAACGAUGUGGGAAGGCCCAGACAGCCAGGAUGUUGGCUUAGAAGCAGCCAUCAUUUAAAGAAAGCGUAAUAGCUCACUGGUCGAGUCGGCCUGCGCGGAAGAUGUAACGGGGCUAAACCAUG
rnacentral:rRNA from 1 species